rnacentral:rRNA from 1 species
AAGUUUAAGGUGGUAGGCUGGAAUCUUAGGUAAAUCCGGGAUUCUAAGGCCGAGAGCUGAUGACGAGUUACCCUUUGGGUGACGAAGUGGUUGAUGCCAUGCUUCCAAGAAAAGCUUCUAAGCUUCAGGUAACCAGGAACCGUACCCCAAACCGACACAGGUGGUUGGGUAGAGAAUACCAAGGCGCUUGAGAGAACUCGGGUGAAGGAACUAGGCAAAAUGGCACCGUAACUUCGGGAGAAGGUGCGCCGGUGAGGGUGAAGGACUUGCUCCGUAAGCCCACGCCGGUCGAAGAUACCAGGCCGCUGCGACUGUUUAUUAAAAACACAGCACUCUGCAAACACGAAAGUGGACGUAUAGGGUGUGACGCCUCCCCGGUGCCGGAAGGUUAAUUGAUGGGGUUAGCUAACGCGAAGCUCUUGAUCGAAGCCCCGGUAAACGGCGGCCGUAACUAUAACGGUCCUAAGGUAGCGAAAUUCCUUGUCGGGUAAGUUCCGACCUGCACGAAUGGCGUAACGAUGGCGGCGCUGUCUCCACCCGAGACUCAGUGAAAUUGAAAUCGCUGUGAAGAUGCAGUGUAUCCGCGGCUAGACGGAAAGACCCCGUGAACCUUUACUAUAGCUUUGCACUGGACCUUGAAUUUGCUUGUGUAGGAUAGGUGGGAGGCUUUGAAGCGUGGACGCCAGUUCGCGUGGAGCCAACCUUGAAAUACCACCCUGGCAACUUCGAGGUUCUAACUCAGGUCCGUUAUCCGGAUCGAGGACAGUGUAUGGUGGGUAGUUUGACUGGGGCUCUCCUCCUAAAGAGUAACGGAGGAGUACGAAGGUGCGCUCAGACCGGUCGGAAAUCGGUCGUAGAGUAUAAAGGCAAAAGCGCGCUUGACUGCGAGACAGACACGUCGAGCAGGUACGAAAGUAGGUCUUAGUGAUCCGGUGGUUCUGUAUGGAAGGGCCAUCGCUCAACGGAUAAAAGGUACUCCGGGGAUAACAGGCUGAUACCGCCCAAGAGUUCAUAUCGACGGCGGUGUUUGGCACCUCGAUGUCGGCUCAUCACAUCCUGGGGCUGAAGCCGGUCCCAAGGGUAUGGCUGUUCGCCAUUUAAAGUGGUACGCGAGCUGGGUUUAGAACGUCGUGAGACAGUUCGGUCCCUAUCUGCCGUGGACGUUUGAGAUUUGAGAGGGGCUGCUCCUAGUACGAGAGGACCGGAGUGGACGAACCUCUGGUGUUCCGGUUGUCACGCCAGUGGCAUUGCCGGGUAGCUAUGUUCGGAAUAGAUAACCGCUGAAAGCAUCUAAGCGGGAAACUAGCCUCAAGAUGAGAUCUCACUGGGACCUUGAGUCCCCUGAAGGGCCGUCGAAGACUACGACGUUGAUAGGUUGGGUGUGUAAGCGCUGUGAGGCGUUGAGCUAACCAAUACUAAUUGCCCGUGAGGCUUGACC